AUGCCGGUGCGAGACGGGCCCCGGUGCAGGCGCAGAGCGGCUACCGCCGCGGCGCGCACUCCCGCUCCUCCUCCUGCCACGGAGCAGCAAAGCAACACGCGUCAGGAAUCAAUCCCGCACCGAAAAUUCUCGCGGCGCGACGUACGGACGCGUCAAGGCGCGUCACGCGCCAGGGGGAAGGAAACACCCCCGCGCCGGAAUUCCGCGGCCAUGAAGGCAACCCCGCGUCGGAAUUCGGUGAUCGGGCCGCCCGAAAUAAAGGCGAUCUGUCCAAAAAGCCGGGCGGGAGGCGUGCAUCGUACCUCAGCGCCUUGCGCGCGAAGCUUCCGGCCUGGGACGGCGACCCCGAGGGAGCAGAGCACGGGGAGGGACAGGGCGAGGAUCGGCGGAGACGACGACGACGACGCGAGAGGGAGAGUUCUCCUCCUCUUCCCGUGCUCCGGCUGUUGCUUUCGCCGUGCGGGUUUGGGAGAGGGAGAGGGGAGGCGGAAUUCAGAGCCGGUGGGCGCGUGGAAAAGGCGGCUGCGUGUUUUGGAGGUGGACGCAGUCCAAGCGCUUCAUCACAGGACAAGACUGAGAGUAAUUAAUGUCUGCGUGCGUACUGUGCAUCUUUUUCGGGGACGAAAUUAA
rnacentral:rRNA from 1 species